AGUUUUGUUUCCGUAGUGCCUGGGGGCGGGGAACGCGGGGUUGCGGAUUACUUGGCCGCUUCCUACGAAGACUAGAGAGGGUCAAACAUAACUGAACGCAGUUGUGACAACCUGUUUUUCCUAUUGAGGUGGCGUAAAUAUACCCCAUCUCCUGUACCAGGACGAGGAAAGUGACCAUUGUCUAGAAAUGGAAGGCUGGCAUUAAGAGGGAGAGAAACAAAGUGUUUGCACUCAUGCUCAUGCAAGGGAGUGGUGAGAGGCAGAGAGAGAGAGGGAGAGAGAAUGAUGUGGGGCUCAGUCUCAUGAACUGUAAGAUCAUGACCUCAGCUGAAAUCAAGAGUCUGAUGCUCAACCUACUGAGCUACCUAAGCGCCCCAGGUGAGCCCUUAUUCUAAUAUAAUGGGUAUUCUUAUAAUAUGCUGGCCAUAUAAAGACAGAGGCACAGGGAGAAGGCUAUGUGACCAUGAAGGCAGAGAUUGGAGUUAUGCAGCUGCAAACCAAGAAAAGCUGAAGAUUUUCAGGAAACCGCUGGAAGAUAGGAAGACACAAGGAAGGAUUCUCUGUACAGGUUUCAAAGGAAUCCUGUAACACCCAGAUUUUAGAAUUUUCGCCACCUGAAAUAUGAGACAAUAAAUUUGUUAUUUUAAGUCA